rnacentral:rRNA from 1 species
UACAGAGGCCUCGAGCGUUAGGCGGAAUCACUGGGCUUAAAGCGUGUGUAGGCGGACCUCUAAGUACCUUGUGAAAUCCCACGGCUUACCCGUGGAAUGGCUGGGUAUACUGGUCGUCUUGAGCCUUCUAGGGGCUACCGGAACAAAUGGUGGAGCGGUGAAAUGCGUAGAUAUCAGGAGGAACACCGGUGGCGAAGGCGGAUCUCUGGGCCUUACCUGACGCUGAGGCGCGAAAGCUAGGGGAGCGAACAGG